rnacentral:tRNA from 1 species
AUUUAAAUAGUUUAUAAAAAUAUUGAUUUGUGGUAUCAAAGAUAUGAAUUAUUUCAUUUUAGAUC